GAGAACUGGGAUUCACAUGUUGACCAAACUGGGAGUGCAUUUCCUUCAGGUCGCUCAAGCUCCCACUUCCUGUUUAUGUUUCACAAGCGUCAAACCCAUUAGCAAGUGUGAGAAAUGAUUGCUUUUCUAACUGUUCACUGGCUGACCUCACUUUGAGGCUUAGAGAUCCAUUCCUCCUCCCUGGACGGAUGUUAUUUGGCCGGUUAUCAUCAAUCUGGCUAGAAUGCCCUCACCUUCCUGCCAGGAGGUGGGCAGCAGGACCAGAGGCUAAGGCUUGGUAGCACAUGCAGCACCUUCCAGCAGCGCUAUGAAAGCUAGACAGUAGAGGAUGAAGCUUCCAAACAAGAUCCAAGAAUGAAGCUGUGUGAGCGAAAUUCUGAGUGCUUGUGAAGAAACUCCAAGAAAACAGGACAAGAGUAUUGUGGCCUCAGUUUCUUCAAAAACACAGAAUUGUUUUUGUAAUGUUUUCAUGCUUCUCCCCAGUGCAGCAGAUCAGAGUGAGUUCACUUUAGAUUAUUCAUCACAGCUGGCUAUUGUUACUUGUUUAUAUGCCUCUAUGGAAAAACACAUUGUCAUCUGUGGCUUGCCCUUGUGAUUGUACACUUUACUCAUGUGAUUCUUCUUAAUCCUCAGCAUAUAAAUUGUCUGAUGCUCUGAAUAAAGUUGGCUAUUGCAUGAGACUUUAGUCUGCCUUAGUUUUAGGCUCCGUUCCCCCAGGUUCCAUGGCCUUUAGAGCAGUAAACAGUCUUAGUUACUUUUCUACUGCUGUGAUAAGACAACAUGACCAAGACAACUUAUAAAAGAAAGUGUUUAUUUGGAGCUUAUAGUUUCAGAAGGUUAGAGGCAUGGCCAUUAUUACAGGGAUCGUGACAGCAUGCAGGCCGGUAUGGUGCUGCAGCAGUCACUGUGAGCGUACAUCUGGACAGAGAAUGGUGUCAGUGUUCUGAAACUUCAAAGCCUUGCCCCAGUGACACACUUACUCC